GACGAACGCUGGCGGCGUGCCUAAUACAUGCAAGUAGAACGCUGAAGGAGGAGCUUGCUUCUCCGGAUGAGUUGCGAACGGGUGAGUAACGCGUAGGUAACCUGCCUGGUAGCGGGGGAUAACUAUUGGAAACGAUAGCUAAUACCGCAUAACAGUUGAUAUUGCAUGAUAUCUGCUUGAAAGGUGCAAUUGCAUCACUACCAGAUGGACCUGCGUUGUAUUAGCUAGUUGGUGAGGUAACGGCUCACCAAGGCGACGAUACAUAGCCGACCUGGGAGGGGGAUCGGCCACACUGGGAAUGAGACACGGCCCAGACUCCUACGGGAAGGAGCAGUAGGGGAUCUUCGGCAAUGGGCGGAAGUCCGAACGGGCAACGCCGCGGGAGGGAAGAAGGGUUUCGGAUCGUAAAGCUCGGUUGUAAGAGAAGAACGAGUGUGAGAGUGGAAAGUUCACACUGUGACGGUAUCUUACCAGAAAGGGACGGCUAACUACGUG
rnacentral:rRNA from 1 species